rnacentral:rRNA from 1 species
AGUGAACGCUGGCGGUAGGCCUAACACAUGCAAGUCGAACGGCAGCACAGUAAGAGCUUGCUCUUACGGGUGGCGAGUGGCGGACGGGUGAGGAAUACAUCGGAAUCUACUUUUUCGUGGGGGAUAACGUAGGGAAGCUUACGCUAAUACCGCAUACGACCUACGGGUGAAAGCAGGGGAUCUUCGGACCUUGCGCGAUUGAAUGAGCCGAUGUCGGAUUAGCUAGUUGGCGGGGUAAAGGCCCACCAAGGCGACGAUCCGUAGCUGGUCUGAGAGGAUGAUCAGCCACACUGGAACUGAGACACGGUCCAGACUCCUACGGGAGGCAGCAGUGGGGAAUAUUGGACAAUGGGCGCAAGCCUGAUCCAGCCAUACCGCGUGGGUGAAGAAGGCCUUCGGGUUGUAAAGCCCUUUUGUUGGGAAAGAAAAGCAGCAGGUUAAUACCCCGCUGUUCUGACGGUACCCAAAGAAUAAGCACCGGCGAACUUCGU